GUAAGAAGAGGACGAGUGUUGCUCUCUAUCCCAUCUAAUUCUACGCGUGUGUUAUAUGGAUGAGGCAAGGACCUAUCCAUGUGGAAAUGGGAUUUGCAAGGUUUUCGCAUCUGAACAGCUCGGUACACAAGGGAGACGAUUUUGGGUUUGAACAAAGCCCCAAGAAAUCGGUGGGUAUAGGUUCUUUGCAUGGAUACUAGGGAGAGCAAAUGCCCAAUAGAGCACAGGGAGCGUAACCAUCAAAAGUGAUGGGGUAAGGCCUUCGGGAAGUAUGGAAAUGUCAUGUAAAGAUCCAAUAAAUGAAGGUUGAAGCAGUCGUCCAAUUAGAGAAUGACAACUUAAUUUUGUGAUAAAUUGUUGGGUCGUAUUAAAAAUAUG